rnacentral:rRNA from 1 species
GAUGAACGCUGGCGGCGUGCCUAAUACAUGCAAGUCGAGCGAACGGACGAGAAGCUUGCUUCUCUGAUGUUAGCGGCGGACGGGUGAGUAACACGUGGAUAACCUACCUAUAAGACUGGGAUAACUUCGGGAAACCGUAGCUAAUACCGGAUAAUAUUUUGAACCGCAGGGUUCAAAAGUGAAAGACGGUCUUGCUGUCACUUAUAGAUGGAUCCGCGCUGCAUUAGCUAGUUGGUAAGGUAACGGCUUACCAAGGCAACGAUGCAUAGCCGACGUGAGAGGGUGAUCGGCCACACUGGAACUGAGACACGGUCCAGACUCCUACGGGAGGCAGCAGUAGGGAAUCUUCCGCAAUGGGCGAAAGCCUGACGGAGCAACGCCGCGUGAGUGAUGAAGGUCUUCGGAUCGUAAAACUCUGUUAUUAGGGAAGAACAUAUGUGUAAGUAACUGUGCACAUCUUGACGGUACCUAAUCAGAAAGCCACGGCUAACUACGUG